rnacentral:tRNA from 1 species
UCCGGUGUAGCGCAGCGGUAGCGCAGUUGGCUGUUAACCAAUUGGUCGCUGGUUCGAAUCCAGCCACCGGAGCCA